UAGGGAAUUUUCGUCAAUGGGCGCAAGCCUGAACGAGCAAUGCCGCGUGAGUGAGGAAGGCCUUCGGGUCGUAAAGCUCUGUUGCGAGGGAAAAAGGAACGGAAGAGGAAAUGAUUCCGUUUUGAUGGUACCUCGCCAGAAAGUCACGGCUAACUACGGGCCAGCACCCGCGGUAAUACGUAGGUGGCAAGCGUUAUCCGGAAUGAUUGGGCGUAAAGGGUGCGCAGGCGGCAUAUCAAGUCUGAAGUGAAAGGUACGGGCUCAACCUGUACAGGCUUUGGAAACUGGUAUGCUCGAGGACAGGAGAGGGCGGUGGAACUCCACGUGUAGCGGUAAAAUGCGUAGAGAUGUGGAAGAACACCAGUGGCGAAGGCGGCCGCCUGGCCUGUAACUGACGCUCAGGCACGAAAGCGUGGGGAGCAAAUAGG
rnacentral:rRNA from 1 species